rnacentral:tRNA from 2 species
GCCCCCAUAGCUCAACGGAUAGAGCAAUAGCCUUCUAAGCUAAAGAUCUAGGUUCGAUUCCUGGUGGGGGUA